rnacentral:ncRNA from 1 species
CCAAUCUCAUCGGGGUGCCGUCAGGCUGAGAGUUUACCCGUUGAACCUGAUCCAGUUAAUACUGGCGUAGGAAAUGAGGCGGCUGUCAUU